rnacentral:snoRNA from 1 species
AAGACCCUUCAGCUGCAAACAGCAGCUUCCUUGGUAGUAUGUGAAGCCUGUUUCUUGUAUUCGUUACUCUAAGGGACCUUGGAGGUAGGC